GCUGGAAGCACGAGAGGGCCCUGGCUGUGACCUGGGGACAAGCAGCCCUGAGGCUGAGGUCAGCUGGCAGGGCUGUCACCCUCCUGCGCCCUGGGGGAGCAUUGAACCCAGAGGCCUGGUGCCAAGUGGGCUUUCUCGGUUCCCCUGGAUCCCAGCCCGGAGACCUCCCUGGACAGAUGGGCACCCGCCCCCAGCCGGCCUCCUGGACAUGACCCUUCAUCUCCCCGGCCUGAUCCCUUUCCACCUGCAUCCAGCUUGUCUCCUGGGACGUGAAGAUCCCAGUCGGAAGACGUCGUCUGAGGGAAGUUGCUGGAAGCAGGUCAGACCAGCUCGUGAGAGCCGAAUCCAUGCAUCUCUUCCCACCGCUACCAUCUGAGAAGUCCUGGCCCUAAGCUUCAAAUUGGCCAUCGGAGGAACGUUUACACCAGAGGCAUCGGCAAACGUCGAGGCUUCCCCCUCCCCCGAGAGCCAGUCGUUGGAGACAGAAGCACCUCAGUGCCCUCGGGAUGCUGGCGAGCUGCCCGCCACGGCACUCAGGGUGAGCAGAGCAAGGGAGAGACCCUCCGGCUGCGUCGCUGUCUUCCGGGACAAAGGGCAUUUCCCAAUCAGCCUGCAUCGUCUUCGUGGAAGAGCUUUGCGGGAUCCGAUCAUUCGUUCCUCUAUAUCUGAGUCCCUGGAAGGCAGAAGGUCCCAACUGUGCUAUUUUGCCCCCCUGGACUUUCACCCCCUCGUCCACAAAACGGAAGGCAGUUGCUCUAGGAGCCUUUCCCAACCCCUGGUCUGCAUGCGCGACACCUGGGCAACUUGCAAAUACAAACGCAAGUGCCUUGGCGUUCCCACUGCGUGCAGCCAUAGUAAUAAUAAUAAUUUUUUUAAAAAAGCAGGUGCCAGACCCAACUUCAACUAAUAAAACCCAAGUCUCGGGGGGUGAGGCUGGGAAUCUGCGUUGAGUCCAACACAAGAGCUCUCAAAUGAGAAAUGCCGGGCAGUCAGGCCCAUGGGUCCCACCCCGCAGAUCUCAGCGCAAGGAUGACAAGCCCGCUCCUCUGACAUCCACACGCGCUGAAAGCGCCACAGCUGCGUGGGACCACUUGAGCAUCUUCGGCCUUCAGAAGGAGCCACGGCUUCCCAGGGCCCCUCCAGCCAGCUGCUCAAAGAUGCUGUGACUGACCGUCACGUGCCCUUAGGCUGCCACCGGCCACUCACGGGGCCUGGAUGAGGACUCGUGGGCUCACGUGCCGUAUGUAAAACAUUUGGAAGGAACAAAUAAUCCCCACACAAACAGCAAAAGGAGAGGCAAUUUUCAUCAGCCGAGCGGGCAUAAAUCUUGAUGUGUUUUAUGAAUCUCACUUACAUUUCUUGUCCGGCUUGUGCAUAAAACUUCUCCAGAUUUAUACAGCCAACUGCAUAAGUCAUUCCCUUCCCAAACGGGCCCUAUAUCUUGAUGACCUUUUAGAAACCAGUGACUGCUUUUCUGUUGUUAUCCAUAAUUGGAAAAGCACUGGAGAUAAGAAAAUUUAUGGCAAUGAAUGAUCUACCUGAGCAAAGCUAUAAAGAACGCCAGAUAUCUAAAAGAGGGGCGGAGGGGACGGCCACUCGCCCUGUUUGUCAAGUGUUAUCUCUGGCAGCCGGGGUCCUCGGCAGCCCUGGCACCCACAGCAGACCCCGGAAGCCCAACGGGGCUCAGGUGGGGCUGGUCCAGGCACCGCCGCCAGAGACCGUGGACCAGGAGCAGGUCUGGUUUCUGUAAAUGGAAGUCAGGAGACCCAGGCUCCCUCCCCCCAAGUUCAUUUCCACAUGGAUAUAGACUGUGUUUUGAUAGUGCUAAGAAAAAGGCAAAAAUGGGCAGACAACCUAAAUAGAUGUUUCUGCAAAGAAGACGGACAGGUGGCCAACAGGCACAUGAGAGAUGCUCAGCAUCACUCAGUAUCAAGAAACGCAAAGCAAAAAAAAGGCAGUGAGGUACCACCUCGCCCUGGUCAGAAUGUCCAUCACUGAUAAGCCUACAAAUCACAGACACCAGAGAGGGUGUGGAGAAAAGGGACCCUUCUACACUGCUGGUGGGAAUGUAAAUUGGUGCCACCACUAUGGAAAACAGUGUGGAUUUUCCUUUUUAAAACAACAGCAACAACAACAACAAGAUUCCCCACGCAGCUCAGCAGUAAGGAACCCGACUAAGAUCCACAAGGACUCGGGUUCAAUCCCUGGCCCCACUCAGUGGGUUAAGGAUCCUGCAUUGCUGUGGCUGUGGUGGAGGCCAGCAGCUACAGCUCUGAUUUGACCCCCAGCAUGGGAACGUCCAUAUGCCUCAGGUGUGGCCCUAAAAAGACAACAAACAAACAAACAAAAGACCUAAAAAUAGAGCUGCCAUAUGAUCCAGCCAUCCCACUCCUGGGUACCUAUCCAAAAAAGACAAAAACUCUAAUUUGAAAAGAUACGUGCACCCCAAUAUUCAUAGCAUCUCUAUCCGCAAUAGCUAAGACAUGGAAGCAAUUUAGGUGUCCAUCAACAGAUGCCUGGAUAAAGAAGAUGUGGUAUAUAUAUAUACGAUAAUAUACAUAUCAAAUAGAAUAUUACUCAGCCAUAAAAAAGAAUGAAACCAUGCCAUUUGCAACAACAUGGAUGGACCUAGAGGUGAUGCUGCUAAGUGAAGCAAGGCAGAGAAAGACAACUGUUACACGACAUCACUUGGAUGCGGACUCUAAAAAGUAAUACGAAUGAACUUAUUUACCAAACAGACAGACUUACGGACGUAGACAACGACUUCGCAGUUACCGAAGGGGGAAGGUGGAGGCGGGUAAAUUAGGAGUCGGGAUUAACAGAGACACAAGAGAUAAACAAGACAGGCCAUACGGCACAGGGAACGGUACUCAGUCUAGCGAAACAACCUAUCACGGAAAAGAACCUGCAAAAGAACACCUAUGCUCUCUGUGGUUCCAGCCCCGAGGUCAGCAGAAAAUGACCCCGAAUGGCCCGAGGAGGGAUGGAUGUGCCCUCCCCACUCCGAACAGCCUCAAGAAACUGGCUGCUCCCCAGGAAGGUCUAAUAGCUGAAAGAAUUCAUGGGGUUUACUGCAGCCCCCAGGAGAGCCGAGGAAAGUAGGAAUUGGUUUUACCGGCAUUUAUUAAGCUGCUUGGAUACACGAAGGGCUCAGCCUGGCGGCUGUGACUCCUCAAAACAUCCAUCCCGGUCUCUAAGGGGCGCACGCAGCGUCCACGGCUCUCGCCAACCCCAGAGCACGUGACCAGGUGCCCUCCUUGGCUGUUCAAUCAGGAGCAAUUACUUAAUUCCCCUGAGUCUCCUGUUUCUGCCAGAGGAGAAGGUAGAUGGAGAGGGAGAAGCCAGGCAGCUGAGGGAAGAGGCAUUUGAGACCAAGACCCAGGGAGGGGACGCGCGGAAGGGACGCCCCAUCUCGCGGGCAUUCUGGCUCCCUUCUCCGCCAGGACCACUCAGAGCCUGUGCCUAUGGGAGACGUGGGU
ensembl:lncRNA